rnacentral:rRNA from 1 species
GAUGAACGCUAGCGGCAGGCCUAAUACAUGCAAGCCAAGGGCUGUUUGGUGUAGCAAUACAUCAGACACCCGGCGGACGGGUGCGUAACGAGUAUGCAAACUACCCUAUACCGGAGGAUAGCCCUCGGAAACGAGGAUUUAUACUCCAUAAGAUUGCUUAGAGGCAUCUUUAAGCAAUUAAAGCCGCACGGCGGUAUGGGAUGCGCGUGCGUCCGAUUAGCUAGUUGGUGAGGUAACGGCUCACCAAGGCGAUGAUCGGUAGGGGUUCUGAGAGGAAGCUCCCUCACACGGGCACUGGCACACGGGCGCCACACAUACGGGAGGGAGCAGUAAGGGAUAUAGGACAAGGGGUGAAAGCCUGAUCCAGCCAAGCCGCGUGCAGGAAGAAGGCGCUAGGGAUGAUAAACUGCGUUUGAGAGGGAGAAAUAAGGGCGAUGCGUCGCUCGAUGAUAGUACUGCUCGAAUAAGCAUCGGCUAACUUCGUG